UACGUAGGGUGCAAGCGUUGUCCGGAAUUAUUGGGCGUAAAGAGCUCGUAGGCGGUCUGUCGCGUCGGAUGUGAAAAUCAGGGCUCAACCCUGGACCUGCAUUCGAUACGGGCAGACUAGAGUUCGGCAGGGGGAGACUGGAAUCCUGGUGUAGCGGUGAAAUGCGCAGAUAUCAGGAGGAACACCGGUGGCGAAGGCGGGUCUCUGGGCCGAUACUGACGUGGAGGAGCGAAAGCGUGGGGGAGCGAACAGG
rnacentral:rRNA from 1 species